rnacentral:rRNA from 1 species
UGGGGAAUAUUGCACAAUGGGCGCAAGCCUGAUGCAGCCAUGCCGCGUGUAUGAAGAAGGCCUUCGGGUUGUAAAGUACUUUCAGCGGGGAGGAAGGGAGUAAAGUUAAUACCUUUGCUCAUUGACGUUACCCGCAGAAGAAGCACCGGCUAACUCCGUGCCAGCAGCCGCGGUAAUACGGAGGGUGCAAGCGUUAAUCGGAAUUACUGGGCGUAAAGCGCACGCAGGCGGUUGAUUGAGUCAGAUGUGAAAUCCCCGGGCUUAACCCGGGAAUUGCAUCUGAUACUGGUCAGCUAGAGUCUUGUAGAGGGGGGUAGAAUUCCAUGUGUAGCGGUGAAAUGCGUAGAGAUGUGGAGGAAUACCGGUGGCGAAGGCAGCCCCCUGGACGAAGACUGACGCUCAGGUGCGAAAGCGUGGGGAGCAAACAGG